rnacentral:rRNA from 1 species
UACGUAGGGUGCGAGCGUUAAUCGGAAUUACUGGGCGUAAAGCGUGCGUAGACGGUUUUGUAAGUCGGAUGUGAAAUCCCCGGGCUUAACCUGGGAACUGCAUUGGUGACUGGCAGGCUAGAGUAUGGCAGAGGGGGGUAGAAUUCCACGUGUAGCAGUGAAAUGCGUAGAGAUGUGGAGGAAUACCGAUGGCGAAGGCAGCCCCCUGGGCCAAUACUGACGCUCAUGCACGAAAGCGUGGGGAGCAAACAGG